GUUGCAGUGAGCUGAGAUCACACCACUGCACUCCAGCCUGGGUGACAGAGUAAUAUCGCAUACUCUGUCUUAAAAAAAAAAUUAGAAAUCACCUAAUCUAUUUAUGUACUCCCAAAUCUGAGAAAGGGUUUCUAGUGGUAUGAAGAAAUGGGAAUUUUGUGAGGGCAGUAAUUUCAUUAUAAAUUAACAGGCCAAGGCUGGGCAUGGUGGCUCACACCUACAAUCCCAGCAC